rnacentral:rRNA from 1 species
CAAUAGCGUAUAUUAAAGUUGUUGCAGUUAAAAGCUCGUAGUUGAAUUUGUGGCGUACGGUGGGUUCCGGGCACUUGUUGUCUGAGUAACUUGCUGUUGCCAUCCUUGGGUGGAACCUGUGUGGCAUUAGGUUGUCGUGCAGGGGAUGCCCAUCAUUUACUGUGAAAAAUUAGAGUGUUCAAAGCAGGCUUAUGCCGUUGAAUAUAUUAGCAUGGAAUAAUGAGAUAGGACUUUUUUGCUAUUUUGUUGGUUUGCGCAAAGAGGUAAUGAUUAAUAGGGACAGUUGGGGGUAUUUGUAUUUCGUUGUCAGAGGUGAAAUUCUUAGAUUUACGAAAGACAAACUACUGCGAAAGCAUUUACCAAGGAUGUUUUCAUUGAUCAAGAACGAAAGUAUGGGGAUCGAAGACGAUCAGAUACCA